UGGGGAAUAUUGCACAAUGGGCGCAAGCCUGAUGCAGCCAUGCCGCGUGUAUGAAGAAGGCCUUCGGGUUGUAAAGUACUUUCAGCGGGGAGGAAGGUGUUGAGGCUAAUAACCUCAGCAAUUGACGUUACCCGCAGAAGAAGCACCGGCUAACUCCGUGCCAGCAGCCGCGGUAAUACGGAGGGUGCAAGCGUUAAUCGGAAGUACUGGGCGUAAAGCGCACGCAGGCGGUCUGUCAAGUCGGAUGAGAAAUCCCCGGGCUCAACCUGGGAACUGCAUUCGAAACUGGCAGGCUAGAGUCUUGUAGAGGGGGGUAGAAUUCCAGGUGUAGCGGUGAAAUGCGUAGAGAUCUGGAGGAAUACCGGUGGCGAAGGCGGCCCCCUGGACAAAGACUGACGCUCAGGUGCGAAAGCGUGGGGAGCAAACA
rnacentral:rRNA from 1 species